GUAUAAGAGACAGGUGAAUCAUCGAAUCUUUGAACGCACAUUGCGCCCCUUGGUAUUCCAUGGGGCAUGCCUGUUCGAGCGUCAUUUGUACCCUCAAGCUCUGCUUGGUGUUGGGUGUUUGUCCACUCCCUGGUGUUUGGACUCGCCUUAAAGCAAUUGGCAGCCAGUGUUUUGGUAUUGAAGCGCAGCACAUUUUGCGAUUCUAGCCUGAAAUACUAGCAUCCAGCAAGUCAUUUUUCACUUUUGACCUCGGAUCAGGUAGGGAUACCCGCUGAACUUAAGCAUAUCAAUAAGCGGAGG
rnacentral:misc_RNA from 1 species